GCCUAAUACAUGCAAGUCGAACGCUUUCUUUCCUCCUGAGUGCUUGCACUCAAUUGGAAAGAGGAGUGGCGGACGGGUGAGUAACACGUGGGUAACCUACCCAUCAGAGGGGGAUAACACUUGGAAACAGGUGCUAAUACCGCAUAACAGUUUAUGCCGCAUGGCAUAAGAGUGAAAGGCGCUUUCGGGUGUCGCUGAUGGAUGGACCCGCGGUGCAUUAGCUAGUUGGUGAGGUAACGGCUCACCAAGGCCACGAUGCAUAGCCGACCUGAGAGGGUGAUCGGCCACACUGGGACUGAGACACGGCCCAGACUCCUACGGGAGGCAGCAGUAGGGAAUUUCGGCAAUGGACGAAAGUCUGACCGAGCAACGCCGCGUGAGUGAAGAAGGUUUUCGGAUCGUAAAACUCUUGUUGUUAGAGAAGAACAA
rnacentral:rRNA from 1 species